rnacentral:rRNA from 1 species
AACGAACGCUGGCGGCAUGCCUAACACAUGCAAGUCGAACGAAACCUCCGGGCUUUGUGGCGCACGGGUGCGUGACAAGGGGGAACUUGCACGUAGGUAACGUAUACCUCACUGAAAGGGGUCCUCAUAACGGUUAAUGUAAUAGGACCAAAGAUCUAUUGCCGUUGGGUGGGCGCGGGUUGGAUUAGCCAGUUGGUAGGGUAAAAGCCUAUCAAUGCGACGAUCCAUGGCUGGUCUGUGAGGAUGACCAGCCACGCUGGGGCUGAGACACGGCCCAGACUCGUACGGAGGGGAGCAGAGGAGAAUAUUGUGCGCGGGAGGAAAGUCUGAUCCAGCAGUGCCGCGUAAGUGAGGAAGGCGGUAGGGAUGUGAAUCUGUUUUAGCCGGGGUGAGAAUGACGGUAACGGGAGAAGAAGCACCGGCUAACUCCGUG